rnacentral:tRNA from 3 species
GCCGAAGUGGCGGAAUGGUAGACGCGCUGGUCUCAAACACCAGUAUCUGUAAUGGAUGUGUGGGUUCGACUCCCACCUUCGGCACCA